AGGACCUUAAAAUAAUUAUUUAGGCUAUUAUUAUGAGUUAUAUUGAGUGUUAUUUAACGCUUAUAUAAUAGUAAUAAUAGCUAGACUAUUAAAUUAGUCUCGUCAAGCGUUAGACUAAACUCUAGUGGUAAUGAUACUAGGUUUCGUCAAGGGAUAAUUGUUUUAAGAGUAACGAAGUGCUGUCCGAGUGCCGACUCACCACCUUUCAGGUGAGUGCAUAGUCCCUUUCAUCUUACACAUAGAUAUGAAGUAUUUUAUAUAAACUACGUGCUAUGUGUGCACAUUAUCUGAAUACUUGCUGUCUAUGCUGGUUGAACGUUUUAUACAUGUUUUAAAGGACUUAAACUGUAUACGUAUUUUAUAUAUACGAAAAUGUUGGGUAUGAGAUGGGUAGAUGAAUGAUGAGAGAUAGAAGAUGACGUGAGUAUACAUUGGCAGCUAUAGACUUAGUGCCUAUGGGACAAACACCGGUAGCUAUGGACUUAGUACCUUUUAGACGUUGGUAGCUAUGGAUUUAGUACCUGUUGGGAAUUGGUAGCUAUGGACUUAGUACCUAUUAGUUAGACGCUGGUAGCUAAGGAUUUAGUACCUGUAGGAAUUGGUAGCUAUGGACUUAGUACCUGUUGAACAUUGGUAGCUAUGGACUUAGUACCUAUUAGAUAAAGACUGGUAGCUAUGGAUUUAGUACCCGAUGAAUAGACUAUAGCAGCUAUGGAAUUAGUGCUUUAUGAACGAACAUUGGCAGCUAUGGAUUUAGUGCCAGUCCCAUAACCCUGGAAGUAAGGGACUUCGGAAUAAACGAAUGCAGGAUAGAUGACUCUUAGGUUAAAUCCUUAAAGAGUAAAGAAGAUAAUGGGGAUGGGUAAUUGGGUUGAUUGUUUGAUUGAACAUAAUAAUUAUAUUAUUGUGGGUUGAAAACCCUAUGUACUCACCAGGUUUCCCAACCUGACCCACUCAGUUUAUGUAUAUCACAGGUGACGAAGUGAAGUGACAUUACACUGAGAGAUUUAAAAGAGAUGUAGAUCACUAGUGUAAAUCAUUGUAAGUUCUGUUUAUGCUUAUGUUUCGGUAUUAACGAUGACAUCCCAAACAUUUUAAAAUGAAAUAAAUACGUUUCUUCGAAAAUGUUUUAAUAACGUAUUUACCAUGUUUUUCUGGGAACAAAUUCCGCAACCUUUUUAUAAAAUGAAGUACUCUGAUUUUUAUAAAGCAUAAACAAAAUCGGUCUUUUCUGGCCGUGAUUUUGGGGAUGUCACAGUUGGUAUCAGAGCAUUAGUUUAAGCGAACUAGGAAUAUGGAUUUAUUUCUAGACUUAAACUUAGAAUGCUAAGCGAUGAUUGUGAGGUGUGAGCACUAGCUUAUUUUAGGAAUUGUGCCUAAAAUGCUUUUAUGUGCUAAAUGCUUUGUGCAUGAUAUGUUGUUAAUUGUUCGGAUCUAUGGUCUGUUGCCGACCGGAUCUGGAAACCUUAUGUGUUUAGGAUUCUAAACGUACGACUACGGUAUUAGAACUAGCAUGUAAAUGUUUCAGAGUGAUAAGGAUGAUUUAAACGUCAAGUAAAGGUCUAAAUUCACCUUAUUCGGUGUAUAGAUCGAGAUGGUAAGGACCCGUAGCGGAAACGUAAACGCAAAUGGGAACAGGAACCAACCCCCAGUGGUUCAGCAAAUACCUGUUGUAGAAGAAGUUGCGCCUGAGCCAGUCACCAUGGCUGGAGUUCAAGCCAUGAUUCGGGCUAUGUUGGCUGAACAAAGGGAAGAAAUGAGACGGAUGUUGAAUAGGGACGAACCUACUAUGCCCAUUGAGCAACCCGAACUGAUUCCCGAGCAAUCUGAGGAAGGGAACUACAGCCGCCAAGUGAGUCAAGUUGGGACUCAAGGUGAGCAAAGGGAUGGCCCAGAAGGGAGAAACAACAAGGAUGGGCGGAUGUACAAGAACUUCUUGGGUGCGAAACCACCAAGCCUCUCAGGAAGCCCAAAGCCGGUUGAGAUUAUGGAUUGGAUCUCUGAGAUGGAGAUGGUGUUUGAGAGCUGCAGCUGUAAUGAGAAACAGAAGACUGUCUUUGCAGUAAGACAGCUGAAAACUGGAGUCUUGAGCUGGUGGAAGCUAUUGGCAGAUACGAUGCCACGAGGAGAAGCCUUAAGGAUGUCGUGGGAAGAGUUUUUGGAAUAGUUGAAAAUGCAGUACUGCUCGGAGGUAGAUCUGAUAGACCUAAACAACGAGUUUCAGAACCUGAAGAAAGGGAAGAUGAGUGUUGAUGAGUAUGCCACCGCAUUUACCGAGAGGAUGAAGCUAUUUCCCUACUUGGUGCCUACUGAACUCUCCAAGAUUGAUAGGUUUGCUAACGGACUGCCCACUGACUUUGGUCCAAUGGUCAAAAUGGCAACUACCUUAAAAGCAGCUAUUAGGGCAGCUAAGAACGUAGAGGCCCAGAUAAGAGAAAAGGGUCUAGAAAAAGAUAAGGCAGGAGAGAAGCGAAAGUUUGAGGGAUCUUCGAGGUCGAACAAGGAAAGCAAAUUCUCAAAACUCGGAGGAGCAGAUGGAGGUGAAACAAGAUGGUGUGAUAAAUGCAAGAAGAAGCAUGGUGGGAAGUGCAACGAAGAAGUGACUUGUUACAAGUGUGGGAGGACGGGUCACUAUUCCAAAGACUGCACACAUAAUGACAAAGUAUGCUACGGAUGUGGAGGCAAGGGGCACAUGUCCAGAGACUGCCCAAGGAAAAAUAAAGCAGCAAGACCAGAAACGCCACCAAGGCCAAGGGCAUUUCACAUGAUCCUCGACGAAGCAGAGAACCAUGCGAGGAAUCAAGAAUGAGGACUUCUUACCCGAAGAUCGGAUUAUGCAGUAGCCAUAGUUUCGUAUGAUGUAGCCUAGUAGAGGCAUAGUCUAGGGUGAACUUGAACACCUAUGUAAUCGUUUCAAGAAUUAAUAUAAAACCUUCGUUUUGUUAUCUGAUGUGUUGAAUGAUUGUAUGAUUUGCUGCAUGGUGACUUGGGAAACUGCGAGACAAUACUUGGGACGAGUAUGAGUAGGUGUGAAUGGUAGUAGAGGCCUAUACUACCGGAAGCACAGGACUCACACUUGGAUCAGGGAAAGUCACAAGGUUACCAAGAAGCUAGUAAUUGAUUUCGUUUUAUUCAAGUGUGUUGUUACCAUCGUUUCGGUAAUGACUAAGAAGAUUGUUGAUAUUCCGACCCUAGUGGUCAUAUCGAAUCGAGUCCGACUACGAUGAGUAUGUUGUGUGGCUCAGAGGACCAAGUUUGAUGUAGCGUCCGACUUAAACCAAACGGUUGAAAUCAAAGCGAUCAAUAGAAGUAUCGCACUCGUUGUUAAAGAAGUUGGUGGCUAGAAAUGCCUAAUGUUAAAGUGUGAUUAUAUCACAUUAGAACAUGAAGGAAGGCAUAGUCUGUUUUAGAAUUUAACUCUAAGAGACCUAAGUCUAAGUGUUGCAACAUACGAUGAUAGGUCAUUAGAAUAUGACACAUCGAUCUAUAGUAGUAAUAAAAGAACUUAUCUCAAGUCCGUAUCCAGCAAGGAUCGAGAUUGUGACUUGAAGGUCAUAAUUUGGAGUCUAACCUGAGGUAGAGAGCAGGUGCACGAUCGAGUACUCUUACAGUCAAUGAGUUUAAGAGAUAGAAUUGAAGGAAUGUAGAAGUUAUAAUUAUUACCUAGGAUGAAGAGAUGACGUAUGGAGUCAUUAUAUGACCCUGUUUCGUUGAUGAUUCCGGGACGUAAUCAUCCAAAGGGGGAGAUAAUUGUAACGCCUGCAGAUCCGGGCUAGUCAAUUUAGAGGCAAUAGGGGUCGAAAACGACUUUUCGACAAAAAGAUUAUUUAGAAUAAAUAAUCUUAACCAAGUUGUAGAAUAUGUCACAGGGUUUCCGUACAUAUAAAGAACGCCGAAAUCCGAGUUAUAACGAAGAAGUUAUGACCCGUCGAAGUUUCGCGUCGGAACCGGCACGGCGCCGGGAAGCGUAAAUAGUAAAUUUAUGAUAGAGCGAGAUUUAGAUUUAGCGCUCUAAACGAAAGUCGUAGAAUAUGUUAAACUAAGAACUUCGAUAAAAAGAACGCCCAAAUCUGACUUCGUAUGAAGAAGUUACGAUUUUUCGAAGUUUCGGAUUAGCAGUGUACAGUCCGAAAUUCGAAUAUUAGAUCGAGCGAUUUUUAGCCGACACAACCUAAACGAGAAUUGAAGAUCUCAUUAUUAGUAGCGUAACAAUAAAAAGACAGACGAAAAUGGACAUCGGAUGAAGAAGUUAUGAGAUUUUAACGGACCAAUCCUGUCCCGGCCUGUUAAAAAUAUAACUUUAAAAAUAAAGUCAAAAUUAGCCGACGGAGUCUAAACGAAAGUUGUAGAGUACGUCUCCACCUACGCGUGGAUAUAAAGAACGUCAAAAACGGAGUUCGUAUGAACGAGUUACAAAUUAUAAUAGCAUAUUUACGUAUUAAAAUAAAGUAUAAAUCAUAUAUACGUACACAUAUAUAUACAUAUGUAUAUAUCAUUAGAAAGGUAUCGACGAUGCGGUCAUUAUAAGACUAAUGUUGAGUUCUUUCGACAUUAGUUUAGUACAAAUAUCUUUAAAUCUAUUUAAAAUAGUAUUAUAAAGGGGUGUUUAGUUGUUUAUAUAACUAUAAGGUCAUUAAGUAAUUAUGGGGGGUAGUUUUUGUAAAUUCAAUUACUAUAAAUAAGAGGCUUGGGCUCUCAUAUUUCUUGCACCAUUCUCUUGAUUCAAGAGUCUUUCUCUCCUUAUCCCCCGAGCAUUUCGGUCCCUCGUGAUUCGACUUCUCUUUCUGUAGUUUUAGUAUAGUAAGGUGAGCGCUGAAGCGCUGCACGAAUCUUUCUUAGAAAGAUUCAGCGACGAAGUUCUGCCCCUACAGAGCCCGACUCCUAGCUAAAAUCCCCUUGUAAGUAAGUUAUGCUUACCCUAUUUUAAAUAUAGUUUAUAUUUAAAAUUAGUAUUGUUAUUAUAAAUUUAUAAUAAAUAUUUGAGCUAUUAUUAUGACUUAUAUAAGUGUCGUUAUAAUAUCUUUUUAACUACUCGCGGUACGGGGAAUCUGGUUUAAAGGGCCGCAUAGGGUUGUUGGAUUUCAGAAGUGCUAUAUGCCAAAAUGGUCCUGCCCUCCGGUGUUUUAUGUCUGGCCCCUGUCUGUACAUAGUGGUUGGAAAGUAUUGUUUAAACGCUUAUAUAAUAAUAAUAAUAAGACUAAUAAUUAGUCACGGUAAAUAUUAGACUAAAAUCUAGUGGUAAUAAUACUAGGUUUCGUCGAAGGAAAUUAUUUUAAAGUAAACGAAGCGCUGUCCGAGUACCGAGUCACCACCUUCUCAGGUGAGUGCAUAGUCCCUUUCAUCUUACACAUAGAUAUGAAGUAUUUUAUAUAAACUACGUGCUAUGUGUGCACAUUAUCUGAAUACUUGUUGUCUAUGCUGGUUGAACGUUUUAUACAUGUUUUAAAGGACUUAAACUGUAUACGUAUUUUAUAUAUACGAAAAUGUUGGGUAUGAGAUGGGUAGAUGAAUGAUGAGAGAUAGAAGAUGACGUGAGUAUACAUUGGCAGCUAUAGACUUAGUGCCUAUGGGACAAACACCGGUAGCUAUGGACUUAGUACCUUUUAGACGUUGGUAGCUAUGGAUUUAGUACCUGUUGGGAAUUGGUAGCUAUGGACUUAGUACCUAUUAGUUAGACGCUGGUAGCUAAGGAUUUAGUACCUGUAGGAAUUGGUAGCUAUGGACUUAGUACCUGUUGAACAUUGGUAGCUAUGGACUUAGUACCUAUUAGAUAAAGACUGGUAGCUAUGGAUUUAGUACCCGAUGAAUAGACUAUAGCAGCUAUGGAAUUAGUGCUUUAUGAACGAACAUUGGCAGCUAUGGAUUUAGUGCCAGUCCUAUAACCCUGGAAGUAAGGGACUUCGGAAUAAACGAAUGCAGGAUAGACGACUCUUAGGUUAAAUCCUUAAGAGUAAAGAAGAUAACGGGGAUGGGUAAUGGGGUUAAUUGUUUGAUGAUUAAACAUAACAACUAUAUUAUUGUGGGUUGAAAACCCUAUGUACUCACCAGGUUUCCCAACCUGACCCACUCAGUUUAUUUACAUCACAGGUGACGAUAUGAAGUGACAUUACACUGAGAGAUUUAAAGAGAUGUAUAUCACUAGUGUAAAUAAUUGUAAGUUCUGUUUAUGCUUAUGUUUCUGUAUUAACAAUGACAUCCCAAACGUUUUAAAAUGAAAUAAAUACGUUUCUUCGAAAAUGUUUUAAUAACGUAUUUAUCGUGUUUUUUUCUGGGAACAAAUUCCGCAACAUUUUUAUAAAAUGAAGUACUCUGAUUUUUAUAAAGCAUAAACAAAAUCGGUCUUUUCUGGCCGUGAUUUUGCGGAUGUCACACCCUCUGCUUAGGAGUAUAAGAAACGGUCACUAGGUUCCACCAGUUCUUCGUGCCUAGCCGAAGAAGAUUCUGGCCGUACUUGACCUUCCAGUCCUCCGGACAAGAACAUGUGAAGAAGCAUCCCCUCACAUCAAAAAUCAAUCUCAUAGCCACAAUCGAGUCAUGAACCCCGUCAAACUCUGGGGUUUCAUGUUUCUAAAAUCUCGGUACUAUAAUGAACCUCAUCAUUGGCCUCCCGCAACAGCGAAGGUUGCUGUGGUAGCAGUAGUAGCCUCCUCCAUGGCGCCAUACUGCUCAUCAAAU
rnacentral:lncRNA from 1 species